ACUCUCAAAUAAAGAUGAGGAGACACGAGGCAAGUAAUUAAUUGAAUUAAAGGGAAGCAGGAGCAUCAGUGUGUACUUUUUGGGUUUUGUAAUGUAUGUUGGUGGUAAGAAUUGUAGAAUGGUAAUCGCAAAAGACAUUUGAGAAUGUUGUUUGGAUGAGAAAUAGAGGGUGGCAUAUCGCCAUCUUAUUUUGACGACAAGGGUCAAAGGGGAG
rnacentral:lncRNA from 1 species